rnacentral:SRP_RNA from 1 species
GCUGGGCAUGGUGGUGCGUGCCUGUAGUCCCAGCUACUUGGGAGGCUGAGGCUGGAGAAUCACUUGAACCCAGGAGGUGUAGGUUGCAGUGAGCCGAGAUUGCGCCACUGCACUCCAGCUUGGGCAACAGAGUGAGACUUCGUCUCAA